GAUGAACGCUGGCGGCGUGCCUCAAACAUGCAAGUCGAGCGAGGCUAUGAGUUACCGCAAGGUAAGGCAUAGCCUAGCGGCGAACGGGUGAGUAACACGUGGGUAACCUACCUGGAAGACAGGGAUAACGAUUCGAAAGGGUCGCUAAUACCUGAUAAUAUCCAUCUGCCGGAUGGCGGAGGGAAGAAAGGGGAAACCCGCUUUCAGAUGGGCCCGCGUCCCAUCAGCUAGUUGGUAAGGUAAAGGCUUACCAAGGCGACGACGGGUAGCCGGUCUGAGAGGAUGUACGGCCACACUGGGACUGAGAUACGGCCCAGACUCCUACGGGAGGCAGCAGUUGGGAAUCCUAGGCAAUGGACGAAAGUCUGACCUAGCGACGCCGCGUGAGGGGAAGAAGGCCCUUGGGUUGUAAACCUCUGUCAUGGGGAAGAAGGAAGUGACGGUACCCCAAGAGGAAGCCCCGUGCUAAUACGUG
rnacentral:rRNA from 1 species